rnacentral:rRNA from 1 species
UACCAGCACCCCGAGUGGUCGGGACGUCUAUUGGGCCUAAAGCAUCCGUAGCCGGUUCUACAAGUCUUCCGUUAAAUCCACCUGCUUAACAGAUGGGCUGCGGAAGAUACUAUAGAGCUAGGAGGCGGGAGAGGCAAGCGGUACUCGAUGGGUAGGGGUAAAAUCCGUUGAUCCAUUGAAGACCACCAGUGGCGAAGGCGGCUUGCCAGAACGCGCUCGACGGUGAGGGAUGAAAGCUGGGGGAGCAAACCGG